AGACCUAGGAGAGCGCAAGCGCGGAAGCACAGAGCCGGGUUUUGUUGUUUGUUUGUUCCCCACCCCCGGGGACGUCUUUUACUUUGAGAUGAAUUAUUGGCCCCGGCUCCCUUCCCUCCUCAUCCACAUGCUUUGUUGCCUCGUAGCUUUUGAGUGAAAAAGUCGUCCAUUUCCAAGACCCGCCGACUGGGGGCUUUGGGCCUGUGACUGCGCCUUCACUCCGUGUCCUCUGUGGAAUGGGGGCGAUCACCGUCCUCGUCUCGGUGGUGAAUAAUUCAGGAGGGAGUGCGCGGUGAGGCGGCCGCACAGCGGUGCGCUAGCAGUCAGGCCGCGGGCGGGUCGGCGCUCGUUCCCGCUUGUUCUUCCCACGCCACUCGGCAUCUUCCAAAUGACUGUUGUGUUGGGAAGAUGAAUGUAAAUAAGGCGUGGACGGCCGCUGUCCUCGAGUAUGUGGUCUGAGAGGGAAGCACUUGUCCUGUAAAAUGGGCAUAUCAGAUAUUAUUUAUGCCAGUUAUGUUUACAAGCAAAUGGCUUGAGGAGGUUGAAUGCGUCAGGGAUUAGAGGCAGAACCAAAGUAAAACCCUUUCUCAGCCUUCCUAUGGUUUGCAGCCACCACCACCCUUUUCUUCUUUUCAUAGUUAACAUUCUCAAAGGAAAGCAACAUAGAUGUUUAAUCACUCCAUCAUUUUUUUCUCACUCAUUUCUUAAUUUUUUCUCAUCUGGC
rnacentral:lncRNA from 1 species